rnacentral:rRNA from 1 species
UGGGGAAUUUUGGACAAUGGGGGAAACCCUGAUCCAGCCAUCCCGCGUGUGCGAUGAAGGCCUUCGGGUUGUAAAGCACUUUUGGCAGGAAAGAAACGUCGCGGGUUAAUACCCCGCGGAACUGACGGUACCUGCAGAAUAAGCACCGGCUAACUACGUGCCAGCAGCCGCGGUAAUACGUAGGGUGCAAGCGUUAAUCGGAAUUACUGGGCGUAAAGCGUGCGCAGGCGGUUCGGAAAGAAAGAUGUGAAAUCCCAGAGCUUAACUUUGGAACUGCAUUUUUAACUACCGGGCUAGAGUGUGUCAGAGGGAGGUGGAAUUCCGCGUGUAGCAGUGAAAUGCGUAGAUAUGCGGAGGAACACCGAUGGCGAAGGCAGCCUCCUGGGAUAACACUGACGCUCAUGCACGAAAGCGUGGGGAGCAAACAGGAUUAGAUACCCUGGUAGUCCACGCCCUAAACGAUGUCAACUAGCUGUUGGGGUCUUCGGACCUUGGUAGCGCAGCUAACGCGUGAAGUUGACCGCCUGGGGAGUACGGUCGCAAGAUUAAAACUUAAAGGAA